rnacentral:antisense_RNA from 1 species
ACACGGAAAGUAAUGAAGAAAAAAGUUAGCGCUGAAGUACAAUGCAUACUCCUGAGGUUCUUAAACUUUACCAGUCUAACAGAAAGCACCAAGAUACAGAUGCCAAAGUUAGAAAAAAUACAAAGCAGCUCAGAAUCAAUAUCAUAUAUCUUAUUCAAGGUAAAUUUUAUGUUAGAUUGUUUGUCUGGCAUUUGGGAGGCUAAAUUAACUUAGGAGGCUAGAAAUCCCAUCUCUACUUUUUUUUUCUUUUUGAGAUGGAGUCUUACUCUGUCGCCCAGGCUGGAGUGCAGUGGCAUGAUCUCGGCUCACUGCAACCUCCGCCUUCCCAGUUCACGCCAUUCUCCUGCUUCAGCCUUCCGAGUAGCUGGGACUACAGGAGAAUCACUUGAACCUGGGAGGUGGAGGUUGCAGUGAGCAGAGGUUACAGUGAGCCAAGAUCGCGCCAUUGCACUCCAGCCUGGGAGACAAAAGUGAAACUCCAUCUCAAAAAAAUAAAAAAUAA